GCGCGAUGGCAUUCGGUGACUAUCCAGCUGAGUACAACCCCAAGGUGCACGGGCCCUACGACCCCGCUCGCUUCUACGGCAAAGGUGAGCAGGUUACGUA
rfam:Drosophila sechellia strain Rob3c scaffold_23 genomic scaffold, whole genome shotgun sequence.